CAUCAUCUUCACCGCGGCCCUGUAACCUCUAGUAUUCAGGGGCUGUGGGGUCACCUUCUCUUCCUUCCUCCUGCCACCCCAAGCCAUCUGAGUGGCGUGCUACGCAGUGGGAGAGCACGUUGGCCUGGACCUCACGCUACCCACGUUCUAGUCCUGCCUCUGUCAUUUCCUAGAGCUGUGGCCUCGGGUAAGUUCCCUCACCUCUCUGGGCCUCAGUUUCCUCAUUUGUAAAAUGAUGGGUGUAUGUAGAUACUCUCCAAGUUCCCUUUCUACCCUGAAACUUGGAAUUCCUGCGGUCCAGUUGCAAAGUGGGAAGGAUCAGGGGAAUUUUCCUCACUGAUUAUCUUCUGAGGAUAAUUCUGAAGAGAAAUGGUUAAGAAAUGGUUAACCAUUCUCUGAAGAGAAAUGGUUAGCAGUGGUUAAGUAUCUUACACGUUUCUAACAGGAAGGGAGUGAAAGCAAUGCCCAUUGUCCUCUCCUUGCUUCUCCCCUUGGUCACAUCACCAGACUUCUUUAGUAAUCUUAAGGUGAUUUAAAUUUUAUAUUUUUUGUAGAUCACCUACUUCCAAAAUAGAUUUGAGGGGUUCACAAUAUAAUAUGCACACGUGCAACUGGAUCAUUAAAAAUAGGAAUACAUUAAUAUAAAAGUAAUGAUGCUUUUUCAUUGGUUACUAUUGAAGUUUGGAUUGAACAUCAGAUGUAAUUUUGAGCAUCCUGGAAGCCAAAGCAAAAAGAGGAAGGUGCAUAAUUGAUAAUAAAGACAAAUUGCCAGACUGUUCCUAGUUCUAA
rnacentral:lncRNA from 1 species